GGCUCCUUCCCGGAUGUGAGGUCCGCCAACGGCCGCGGCGGCGGCUUCGGGUCGGAGCUGCUGAGGUCCGGUUCUGAGGCGCCCGGCUUCAGGGACAGCCCGCCUCGGUGUGCAGUUGGUCACCAAGUCAACAGAGGAGCCACGCCUGGUCAGCAGAGGGAGGAGGCCAGGACCUGCCAGCAGACCUGGGGUUGUGGCUGUGUCCAAGUGGUGAAGUGUUCCUGCUCACACUGGUAGACGAGGAAGGCAGCCAGCCUGCAGGUCCACGCUGGAUACAGGCAAAGGGGCAAAGGCUCAAAUGCACACUGCCAAGACUUUGCAACACAGAAGAACUCAGGCUCAGCCUGGCCUCAGGCUCCUGGUGGCAGGGCUGUGUCCUUUGCAACUUAAUCAGACCCCUCACGUUUUCUCUUUCCAGUCUGUUCCCGGUCCACAGCUGUUUCCUGCUGCUGUUGCUCACACAGUAGCAGUGAGGAUAUAACACUGGGAACCCUGACAUGUAGCCAUCCCAUAGCUGUUCUGAGUCCCCGGCUCAAACAUUUAAGCCUUUGCCCCAGUGGAAUCCAGGCCCACACUCUCUCCAGGGAAGGAUAUGGCAGUACCUGCAUUCAGGAAAGUUACCCGCCUUUACUUUUAUAAGGACUCUGUGACAGCAGAACUCAGUAUUGUCCCUGCAGAUCUCAGCAAGUGCCAGGCCAUUGAAACAGUGCCUCUUCUCCCUGGGACCUCCUGAAAUCCCGAAGUUUCCCUUAGUUUCCACAGAUUCAGUCUCCCUUUUCAGUGUGCCAGGAGCCAGGGAGGAAGUCCAGACUGUUUUUUUCCUUCUCCACAUUGCAGGCUGUCUCUUCAGCGUCUGUGUACUUUUUAAUUUUCCUGUGAGCCACUUCCUGAUUCCCUGACACCUUCUUCUCCAUUUUUUUUACUUCCUCAGGUUGUUAUAUUUCAGCAUCUCAAUUCUGAGUCUGUGGGAGGCUGAACUGCUGCUGCUCACCACUCCUUCAUUUUCCAGCACAGAACACCUGAAGGUAACCCACAUUCCUGUAAAGAAGGGGCCCACAGAACCUGAGUUGCCCUGU
rnacentral:lncRNA from 1 species